UACAGAGGGUGCAAGCGUUGUUCGGAAUUAUUGGGCGUAAAGCGCGUGUAGGCGGCUUUGCAAGUCGGGUGUGAAAGCCCUCAGCUUAACUGAGGAAGUGCGCCCGAAACUGCAGAGCUUGAAUACCGGAGAGGAUGGCGGAAUUCCCCCAAGUAGAGGUGAAAUUCGUAGAUAUGGGGAGGAACACCGGUGGCGAAGGCGGCCAUCUGGACGGCUAUUGACGCUGAGACGCGAAAGCGUGGGGAGCAAACAGG
rnacentral:rRNA from 1 species